rnacentral:rRNA from 1 species
UCUUAAUUGGAGGAUAGUAUGAAAGGUGAAACAUGUAAGAUCAAGUUUUUAAUUUAAAGUUUUAAUUUAAUCGGUCGGUUAAAAUCCCGAUCUUUUGUUUAGGGACGAGAAGACCCUAUAAAGUUUGACUUCUUAUCCUUACUAUUAGGGGGACAAAGUUUUGUUGGGGCAACACUAUAAGAUAGAAUCUUAAAGUAAUUAAUUUUUGUUAAAAUUUAUGUGAGCUAUUAUUAAUACUAUCUGUAUAAAUUACCUUAGGGAUAACAGCACAAUUAAGAUUCUUAAGUUCAAAUUUACAAUCUUGAUUAUGACCUCGAUGUUG